GGACUACUGGGGUUUCUAAUCCUGUUCGCUCCCCACACUUUCGCUCCUCAGCGUCAGGACAUGCCCAGAGAACCGCCUUCGCCACCGGUGUUCCUCCUGAUAUCUGCGCAUUUCACCGCUACACCAGGAAUUCCGUUCUCCCCUGCAUACCUCCAGUCUGCCCGUAUCGAAAGCAAGCCACCAGUUAAGCCAGUGGAUUUCACUCCCGACGCGACAAACCGCCUACGAGCCCUUUACGCCCAAUAAUUCCGGACAACGCUCGCACCCUACGUAUUACCGCGGCUGCUGGCAC
rnacentral:rRNA from 1 species